GGAGCAGCAGCUCAGCGAUACAGUUCCAGCUUCGUGUGCGGGAAGACCUGGGUUCGAUUCUCGGCUGCUUCC
rnacentral:tRNA from 1 species